AAAUGACCCGCCCGAACACAAUCACGGCUCACGAAACAAACGAAACCCUAACCAUCUCAAAUUUUUUGCCUUUCCCUCUCUUUCCCCUCCCCUCCGCGAUUUAGGAUCGGAUGGGUAGCAACGAGGAUUACUCGCAAAUCGAUGUGUCAUUGGAGGAGAAAGAUAAGCUGGUUGCGGAAGUAAUUCGCUAUGUGCUGUUCAAGACGCACCAGACUGCCGGCUGCCCGAUAAAGCGGGAAGAAUUGGCGCAAAUUGUGACAAAGAAUUACCGCCAGCGCGCCCUUCCUGGGCUCGUGAUAAGCGAGGCGAAGGAAAAGCUCUCGAGCGUUUUCGGGUACGAGAUGAGAGAGCUCCAGCGGCUUCGUCCGCUGUCGCGGUCGACUCGCUCUUCGCAGCAAUGUAUGGUAGAGGCAAAAUCAUAUAUUGUAACGAGUCAGCUGCCUUCCGAUAUCUAUAGCAAAUACGUGGAGGAUAAAGAGAACUCCCAUAUGACCGGUUUCGCUUUUGUUGUCGUCAGCAUUGUCCAUCUCGCAGGCGGUAAAAUUUCUGAAGAAAACUUAUGGCAUCAGUUGAGACGGCUGGGCUUAAACGAGAGUGACGAGAAUCAUCCGGUUUUUGGCAACAGUAAGCAGACACUGGAGAUGCUUGUGCAGCAAAGGUACUUGCAGAAGGAGAAAGUUGUCGGCCCAGAAGGCAAUACCUUGAUGUAUGAUCUUGCUGAGAGAGCAUUGGAUGAGUCCAUCAGUGGGAAAUUAAAAGACUAUAUCUCGCAGAAAGUUUCUCAUGGCAAAUGGUGAAUUGAUCAUCGAUGUAGAAGUGGUGAAUAAAGAGACCACAGCAGAAGCAGAUUGACAUUAGUUGGAAAUUCGACAGCAAGCUGCCUGAUAUUCUGAAUCCAAUCCACUUGACGUAAAUGUUCCUUGAAGCAAGGGAUUAUCAUCUGAGACCAGAUGUUUAAUGUGUAUAGCUACUCUAAUGUCUUCUUUUGCGACAGUUUAACUUAGCGGGUGAUGAAAAUACAACUGAAUUAAGCCAUGAAAAAGUGUUGUUAAGGCAACAUUUGAUUUUGAAUGGCGCUCAUUUCUGACGACACUUUAACGUCUUGAUGAUGUCAACUGAAUCAUCUUACUGUUGUACAUAUCUCCGAAAUUUAUGUUCAGAAUAUGUAGGUAAGUUUUUGUGGUGCCAUCGCUGGUUCGCUAGUCAUCUAGUAAGUCUAUGAGAUUAUUGUAUGGGAGGAAGCUAAAUGAGUUGUUAAGAAAUGCAAGAUGUAUGUGUUCUUUGCAGCUUUGUAACACGAGUAAUUUAUGAGAACAGGAAUGCUAUUAUGCUACUCAGAUGCAAUACUAUUUGUUCUUUCAUCCUUCAUAUGAUGCAA